rnacentral:lncRNA from 1 species
GGGAGGCAGGAAUGCCACGUAAAAUUUUAUUAAGGAGGUAGAAAAAGGAGAAUAUACGACCAGAGUUUAGCUCUUCUAAGAGAGUUGUUUUAAGUUAUGUGGUAACAAUACCCAGCAACAUAAACCAACCAAAAAAGUAAAGAUACAGUGCUCUAUUUGAGUAAUAUACAAAGGUUGGAUCACUAUGCCGGCUGCAUGAUUGAAACUUUUGAACCAGAGGCAAGAAGAGAGGCUGCUGACAAUUCCCCAGGGAGGCAGUAUUUGAGUUUUUAUGUAAUGAUAAGUCUCUCGAUCAAGAUCUUACACAAGCCUUCCCUCAAAGUUUUCAGAGACAAGGCAGCAAACAUCAACAUGAUAGAGUGUAAGAGGAGGAGAACAGAAGAUUUUAAGAUAGGGUUUAUUUUCAGAGACAGAGACUUUUAGUCUUCAUGCAGUAGGGAGGAUAGAUUCUUGAUUUUGUUCCAUAAUUUACCAAAUUCAGGAAGAAA